UGCGUAGGUGGCGUCGUAAGUCGGGUGUGAAAUCUCGGGGCUUAACUCCGAAACUGCAUUCGAUACUGCGGUGCUUGAGGACUGGAGAGGAGACUGGAAUUUACGGUGUAGCAGUGAAAUGCGUAGAGAUCGUAAGGAAGACCAGUGGCGAAGGCGGGUCUCUGGACAGUUCCUGACACUGAGGCACGAAAGGGCCAGGGAAGGCAAAACG
rnacentral:rRNA from 1 species